UACGUAGGGUGCAAGCGUUAAUCGGAAUUACUGGGCGUAAAGCGUGCGCAGGCGGUGAUGUAAGUCAGUGGUGAAAUCUCUGGGCUUAACCCGGAAACUGCCGUUGAUACUAUCUGUCUUGAAUGUAGUGGAGGUGAGCGGAAUAUGUCAUGUAGCGGUGAAAUGCUUAGAUAUGACAUAGAACACCCAUUGCGAAGGCAGCUCGCUGCACUAUUAUUGACACUGAGGCACGAAAGCGUGGGGAUCAAACAGG
rnacentral:rRNA from 1 species